rnacentral:misc_RNA from 1 species
GAUGAAGAACGUAGCGAAAUGCGAUACUUGGUGUGAAUUGCAGAAUCCCGUGAACCAUCGAGUCUUUGAACGCAAGUUGCGCCCGAAGCCAUUAGGCCGAGGGCACGCCUGCCUGGGCGUCACACGUCGUUGCCCCCCCAUCUACUCCUUCGGGAUUGCGGGGGGCGGAUGAUGGCCUCCCGUGCGCCUCGUCGCGCGGUUGGCAUAAAUGCCAAGUCCUCGGCGACGCACGCCACGACAAUCGGUGGUUGCGAAACCUCGGUUGCCCGUCGUGUGCGGUCGUCGCCCAUCGAGGGCUCGAAAAAAUUGUCGGGCUCCGGCUCGGCUUUCAACGCGACCCCAGGUCAGGCGGGGUUACCCGCUGAAUUUAAGCAUAUCAAUAAGCGGAGGA